rnacentral:rRNA from 1 species
GACGAACGCUGGCGGCGUGCUUAACACAUGCAAGUCGAACGGAACUGCCCUGCUGUUGUGGGGUGCUCGAGUGGCGAAAGGGUGAGUAACACGUGAGUAACCUGCCCGUGACUUUGGGAUAACUUCAGGAAACUGGGGCUAAUACCGGAUCGGAGCCCCUGCUGCAUGGUGGGGGUUGGAACGUUUCGGCGGUUGGGGAUGGACGCGCGGCUUAUCAGCUUGUUGGGGGGGUAGUGGCUUACCAAGGCUUUGACGGGUAGCCGGCCUGAGAGGGUGACCGGCCACAUUGGGACUGAGAUACGGCCCAGACGCCUACGGGAGGCAACAGUGGGGAAUAUUGCACAAUGGGCGGAAGCCUGAUGCAGCAACUCCGCGUGCGGGAUGACGGCCUGCGGGUUGUAAACCGCUUUCGCCUGUGACGAAGCGUGAGUGACGGUAAUGGGUAAAGAAGCACCGGCUAACUACGUG